UGCAUGCUUAGUAUAUAACGGCGAACGGCUCAGUAAUGUUGCGAUGAUUUGGUCUUUUUGGGAUAGAAUAACUACGGUAAGCUGUAGCUAAAAAUAAAGAAUAAGUCGCAACCCUAUCAGUUAGUUGGUAGUGUAAAGGACUACCAAGACAAUGACGGGUGACGGGAAAUUAGGGUUUUAUUCCGGAGAGGGAGCCUGAGAGAUGGCUCCCACGUCCAAGGACGGCAGCAGGCGCGAAAAUUGCCCACUCUUUUAAGAGGAGGCAGUUAUGAGACGUAUAAAUAGGAAAUAUUAUAAAAAGAUAUAAAAGAAUUGGAGGGCAAGUUUGGUGCCAGCAUCCGCGGUAAUA
rnacentral:rRNA from 1 species